AUUGAACGCUGGCGGCAGGCCUAACACAUGCAAGUCGAGCGGAUGAAGGGAGCUUGCUCCUGGAUUCAGCGGCGGACGGGUGAGUAAUGCCUAGGAAUCUGCCUGGUAGUGGGGGAUAACGUCCGGAAACGGGCGCUAAUACCGCAUACGUCCUGAGGGAGAAAGUGGGGGAUCUUCGGACCUCACGCUAUCAGAUGAGCCUAGGUCGGAUUAGCUAGUUGGUGGGGUAAAGGCCUACCAAGGCGCCGAUCCGUAACUGGUCUGAGAGGAUGAUCAGUCACACUGGAACUGAGACACGGUCCAGACUCCUACGGGAGGCAGCAGUGGGGAAUAUUGGACAAUGGGCGAAAGCCUGAUCCAGCCAUGCCGCGUGUGUGAAGAAGGUCUUCGGAUUGUAGAGCACUUUAAGUUGGGAGGAAGGGCAGUAAGUUAAUACCUUGAUGUUUUGACGUUACCAACAGAAUAAGCACCGGCUAACUUCGUG
rnacentral:rRNA from 1 species